rfam:Salmo salar isolate Sally breed double haploid chromosome ssa18, whole genome shotgun sequence.
AAUGCACCAAUUUGUAAGUCGCUCUGGAUAACAGCGUCUGCUAAAUGACUUAAC